CAUCAUGUUGAAACAGGUUCCUGUAUGAUCACCAAAGUUAAGCAACACUAAGCCUGGUCAGUACUUAAAUGGGUGACCACUUAGGAAUACUAGGUGCUGUAA